rnacentral:rRNA from 2 species
GGAGAGUUUGAUCAUGGCUCAGGACGAACGCUGGCGGCGUGCCUAAUACAUGCAAGUCGAGCGGACUGAAUGGAAGCUUGCUUCCGUUCGGUUAGCGGCGGACGGGUGAGUAACACGUGGGCAACCUGCCCGUAAGACCGGGAUAACUUCGGGAAGCCGGAGCUAAUACCGGAUAACACCGAAGAUCGCAUGGUCUUUGGUUGAAAGGCGGCUUUGGCUGUCACUUACGGAUGGGCCCGCGGCGCAUUAGCUAGUUGGUGAGGUAACGGCUCACCAAGGCGACGAUGCGUAGCCGACCUGAGAGGGUGAUCGGCCACACUGGGACUGAGACACGGCCCAGACUCCUACGGGAGGCAGCAGUAGGGAAUCUUCCGCAAUGGACGAAAGUCUGACGGAGCAACGCCGCGUGAGCGAAGAAGGUCUUCGGAUUGUAAAGCUCUGUUGUUAGGGAAGAACAAGUACCGUUCGAAGAGGGCGGUACCGUGACGGUACCUAACGAGAAAGCCACGGCUAACUACGUGCCAGCAGCCGCGGUAAUACGUAGGUGGCAAGCGUUGUCCGGAAUUAUUGGGCGUAAAGCGCGCGCAGGCGGUCCUUUAAGUCUGAUGUGAAAGCCCACGGCUCAACCGUGGAGGGUCAUUGGAAACUGGGGGACUUGAGUGCAGAAGAGGAGAGCGGAAUUCCACGUGUAGCGGUGAAAUGCGUAGAGAUGUGGAGGAACACCAGUGGCGAAGGCGGCUCUCUGGUCUGUAACUGACGCUGAGGCGCGAAAGCGUGGGGAGCAAACAGGAUUAGAUACCCUGG